CUGAUGUGAAUAUUAAAUAGCCGCGGUAUCUUGACCGUGCAAAGGUAGCAUAAUCAUUAGUUUUUUAAUUGGAAACUUGUAUGAAUGGUUGGACAAAGAAGAAACUGUCUCUUUUAUUAAAAUUGAAUUUAACUUUUAAGUGAAAAGGCUUAAAUUUUUCAAAGUGACGAUAAGACCCUAUAAAGCUUUAUAAAUUAAAGAUUUUUCUAUAUUUUUCUAUAUUAAGAAUUUUCUGAAAAUUUAUUUGGUUGGGGCGACAAUAGUAUAAUUAGAGUAACUGCUUUAAAUUAGAAACAAAAUUAUUUGGUAGCAAUUAGUUGAUCCUUCAUAGAGAUUCUAAGAUCAAGUUACUUUAGGGAUAACAGCGUUAUUUUUCCUGAGAGUUCUUAUCAAAGGAAAAGUUUGCGACCUCGAUGUUGAAUUAAAUGUCUAUAUAGUGCAGCAGCUAUAAAAGAAGGUCUGUUCGACCUUUAAUAUUUUACGUGAUCUGAGUUCAG
rnacentral:rRNA from 1 species